rnacentral:rRNA from 1 species
GAUGAACGCUGGCGGCGUGCCUAAUACAUGCCAGUCGAGCGAACAGACGAGGAGCUUGCUCCUCUGACGUUAGCGGCGGACGGGUGAGUAACACGUGGAUAACCUACCUAUAAGACUGGGAUAACUUCGGGAAACCGGAGCUAAUACCGGAUAAUAUAUUGAACCGCAUGGUUCAAUAGUGAAAGACGGUUUUGCUGUCACUUAUAGAUGGAUCCGCGCCGCAUUAGCUAGUUGUUAAGGUAACGGCUUACCAAGGCAACGAUGCGUAGCCGACCUGAGAGGGUGAUCGGCCACACUGGAACUGAGACACGGUCCAGACUCCUACGGGAGGCAGCAGUAGGGAAUCUUCCGCAAUGGGCGAAAGCCUGACGGAGCAACGCCGCGUGAGUGAUGAAGGUCUUCGGAUCGUAAAACUCUGUUAUUAGGGAAGAACAAAUGUGUAAGUAACUAUGCACGUCUUGACGGUACCUAAUCAGAAAGCCACGGCUAACUACGUG